UACGUAGGGUGCGAGCGUUGUCCGGAAUUAUUGGGCGUAAAGAGCUCGUAGGCGGUGUGUCGCGUCGGCCGUGAAAACCUGGGGCUCAACUCUGGGCGUGCGGUCGAUACGGGCAUCACUUGAGUUCGGCAGGGGAGACUGGAAUUCCUGGUGUAGCGGUGAAAUGCGCAGAUAUCAGGAGGAACACCGGUGGCGAAGGCAGAUCUCUGGGCCGUAACUGACGCUGAGGAGCGAAAGCAUGGGGUAGCAAACAGG
rnacentral:rRNA from 1 species